GCUAACUUCCUCUGGGGUUUAUUUGUGGCAUAAACAGGGAACAAAAGCAGGAAUGACUCCUCUGUGCAGCACAGCAAGAAAUGUGAUUUGUGUUUUUCAGGACGUGAGCCUGGUUUGAUUCCGGCGCUUUUCCCCAGGGCCGCCCCAGUGCUCCUUCUUGUCCCUUGUCCCCUUUGUUGUGCCGGAAAAGCGUCACCUCUUUCAGCAGGCUAUUCACUUCGUGGCGUGUCUUUUUAGUAGCUGCCCUUAGCCCAAGGCUUUCUCAGUCCAAAUCAUCCCUCUCUUCCCUGGGUUCCUUGUGUAAGUGAAGGAAGUCUGCAUGCCGCAGUAAUUAUGGUCUGCGAAACGCUGCCGUGAGUCCUUCCUGGAUGGCGUUUUCAAAGGCUCUGAAGGGACUUACGCAGGCAGCUCCCAUGGAGACAGGGAGUCCCUCGAGCAGUCUCUUCGGUGGGCUCAACUGCCAUCUUUCUCUGGGUGGAAAGGUGCGGUUUAGUGGGAUUUGCGAUGGGCAGGCAGGGACGCUUCGGCAUUGCGCGUGGGGAAUUCGUAGCGUCAGGGCCGUGAGCGGCGCCCGCCCAGGGGCGUCCUUGGCCUGCCAGAGGCUCCGCUGGUUGGGCACGUUGGACCAGGAGGCUCCCCCUCACAGAGCUCACAGGGGAAGCAGAUGUCUCGGCAGUGCCAGGCGGCGAUGGCAGCCCCGCAGAGCGAGGACAGCCAUUCCCGCCGGCACGAAGCUGCACGUGGCUCGUCCAGGACUGGCAGGCAAUUAGAGCAUCACCCAGCCAAACCGCCUCACACCCCUAGGGCACUUAUUCACUGUAUAAAAGCUCUGCCAUCGCGGGGCUCUCCUAGGCACUUCUCUCCGGUUGUUCUCACUGAUGAAGUGGGUAAGUCUGGCUUUAAAUGGAGCUCCUGAAAUGCUGUUUUAUUCCUGGGUGGCCGGAGCAGGCAGAGGUCUUGCCUGUGUACAUGUGGAGAAGCAUCCUCUGGGGGAUGCUGCCUUCAGCACCGGCGUGCGCGGCUCUAACAGCUGGAGCAUCUCCUCCGUGCUAAACUGAAGAAUAUUGGGAAAGCAAUUCCAGAUGGACUGUGAAGUCAGGAGUGGGAUUUGUGGGCUUUUCUACGCUUUCUGUUAGUUCUAGUCCAAAGGAGGCUAUUGACUACGUAAAGGGCUCGAUGCUGGCAGGAGUCAGAGAUGAGCUUGCCCACGAAAAGGCAUCUCUAAAGGAAGUGGAGUGGAGACAUUUGUGGCCGUUUUAUGGAAUUUAAACAAAGCAACCUGUCAGAUAAUAGGAAGAAGCUGACCCAACUUCGGUGCCAAUGUGAAAGUCAGCAAAGAGACUCUCUAGCUAAAGCUGAACAUGAUAAAAUUUCUAAUGAUAAAAAAAAAAAAAAGUCUGAGAUGCAAACAACCCCUCGGAAGCAAAUAGUCCUCCCUACUUUAGAAGCUUUUUAUCUUGAUGAGCAUCACCAGAUUGUAUGCAUUGUGCAGGUAGUAGUAGCAAUUGCUGCCAUUGUUUUUCGAGGGGUUGUUUUUAUUAGUAGAUGAUUGUUGUAAUUGUAGUGAUAAUAAGUUUUCCUAAUGACAGUAACACACAGCAUUGUUAUUGCUGAUCGUCACCCAACGAUAGGCUUUUGGAAGAUAAAACAUCUUACUGUAAUUAUAGACAGAAUUAGGAGCGUUCAGAAUGAUGCAGUUUCUUUAGUCGUUGAAUUACAUGCCUUAAUCUCCGAGCAGUAUUGAAAUGAAAAGACCGUUUUCAAUCAGACUACGUUUCACAUGUCAGUGCUUCCAGCGCCUGUUGUGCUCAAAAUAACCCUGUUCGUUAAAAACUCAGGAAACUCCCCGAAACGGGCGUUUUCUGGCGUGGGGACUGAAGGGGAACGGUUUCUCCGAUGAGGCCCGGGGCCAAGGCAAAGCGAGACACUUCACAGUGGUUUCAGGAGGAAGGUGUGGGCCCCCAGACGGUGCCAUCUUGUCCCUUCCCCAGGGACAGCGUCUCAGCUCGACUCCCCUUCGUGCUGCUCGCACAGGGGCUGCCAGGGUGAGGUUUCACUGUCAGAGCUGCCUAUGCCAGGCGUUUUGACAGUGAGUUUUCAGGUUAUUGUCACAAAACCAGGACCCUAUGGCUUGGUAUGACUGUAGCGCAGGGCUGGAGGCUGCUUUAAGUGGGUGUAAUUCUUUCAGCCGAGUGAAACUUGGCUAGUUAACACCAGCUGAGAUCUCGCCUCGAUAGUUUCUCCUUUCUGCCAUGGUUUCACCCAAUACUUCAAAACAAUCCUGUUGUAUUUCCUCUUUAUUUUUCUGGAAGAUGCCUACAGUACAAAGCCAGGGCUGCAAGGCUCGCGGAGGCAGCAAAGCCGACGCGAUGGUAGCGAGCUCAGAGCCUGUAAUUGCACGCUGCCAUCCCAGCAGACCCCUGCGGGACCGUGAAUCGGCAGGCAGGCAGGUUGUACGUGCCGAGCUCCGCGCUGCAACAAACCUAUCCUUACCCUCAGCAGGCUAAUGUAACCUCAGUUUGGGUUUGCCCGCGUGAACUGCAGCCGCACCCGGUUAUUACAGCAUGGACACACCUUUAAUUUUGGUUUGCCUUUAAUCCCCUGCGCUGGGGAGUUGCAGGACAUAAACUUGAAAGGACGUCCCAGGAGUGACACAGAAGGUUUCCCGGAAGUAAGAUGGAGGGUCAUGAUGUCACUUUUUCCUCGGUGAAAUGCUUUGAUGGGCACUUGGCUGGUUUUUGAAGGGCAGCAUGAAGGGCAAAGCCCGGUUUGCCUGGCUCCAAUCCCUGAUCGUUUCCAGGCUCUUCAGAGGAGGGUGUGGGGACACAAGCUGAGGGCAGCCUCUCCUCUCGUCACCUCAAGUCAUCACAGCUUGGCCUUGAGUUACUGAGAGCCCCUGAGAGCUAGUGGGUGGGCUUGCCACGUUGCGGUGGCCACGGGGAAACUCCAAGUCCUCCAUCACAAAAAAAUACCCCAAUGCCUAUGUGAACUGUCUGUCUUUUUCCCCCGUUUCUUUCAGGCGUAAGUGCCUUGGAUGACCAUGCACUACUAUGGGGAGCGAUAUAAACACAUUUACCUGCCGGGAUCAGGCUAUAUCACCGAAAGCAUCCAGCAGUGCACGCCCCAGUCCGAUAUGUGCAGUACCACGUGCCACCCAGUGAGCGUGAUCAAGAGCCCGAUGCCCAGAUGGCAAAGCUACACGCAACCUUUCACUUACGUGUGCCCGCAGCCGAGCGUGAGCCAGGCAGCCCUGCUGCCUUGCCAGCCCUACGUGCAGCAGUGUGUCCUGCUGUACCCUGAGCCCUGCGAGACCACGCGCCUUCUGCCCUGCAGGAAGCCCAGCCUGAAGCUGAGCACAGUGCAGAGUUUCCAACCCUGUGAGACCAGCUGCCUCGAGAAAAAACGUGUAGCCAAGAGCCUCCCACCGUGCGCACCCAGGUGCCCGGAGCCGGGCAAACUCAAGUUCCCACCAUGUGGGAUCAAAUACUCAGCCUCGUGCAAGGACGAAUGCAGGUCGCAGAAGAUCUCCAAAAGCACGUCGCAGCGGUGCGGCACGGAGCUGAGGUCCUCGCAGGGGAUGACCAGCGGCUAUUCCCCGCCGCUGAGGGGUGUCACCGAGUGCCCCCCGCAGCAGCAGUGCAUAAUGCAGGAGUGCGUGAGCGGGUUCCCCCACCAGAAAUGCAUGAAGGGCUACCCGACUCAGGAGUGUGUCACCACCUACUCCUCUCAGCAGUGUGUAACCAAGCCACAGCCACAGGUGCCCAAGUGCCCCCCCGGGCAGGGAAUAAAGGAGUGUUCCUCGCACCAUCACACAGUCAAAUGCUCGCUGCCGCAGGAGGGAGGCAAGCACAAGAGCUCUUCGACACAACACCUGAGCAAGUCCAAGUGCCUCUACCCACGGUCCACCCAGCACUCGACGCACCAUCAUACAGGGGGGGCCAAACGUUCGAGCCACUCCAAGAAGAGUCGCUGUGCUUCAAAAUGGCUGUGCUUAUCUCUUUCCAGUCUUCUCUUCCUUAAGCAGGCAUCCUUCAGCGGUUGUAUUUCGCAGCCUUCUGAUCCUGCAUGGUGAUUGGAGCCAGACACUUGGCAGCUGGUAGGUACCUAGAGUAUGAGUGGGGAUGCCCCAAGCAGAACAACAUCCUCCAGCCAAAGCUGGAGAAAAGAUUUUCCUAGGAGCUCAGGGGCUAGCACGCAGAAUGGCACCGAAAUCGGGUCCUUCCACCUCCUGUACAGCAGUUUCCAGCUUGCAGGGCUGGGAUAAUUUUUAUUUUUUUUCCUCCCAGAUCUGCCUGACACAGAUUUGUGAGCCUGCACAAACCUCCCAGGACACUGAUAGAGUGCCCAGUGCAAUCUUAGCAGAGGCACAGGAAUCCUGUUAUGUAUAAUUACUCUAACGAGGGCUGGGCAUGCUCUAUCACCGAGACAAAUAAUCCCAGGCAAGGACAUUCCUCAGUACAGGGAUAAAAAAUAUCCAUUCCUGUAUGACUGGUGGCCCUGAGGGACCAGCUGUGGCUCUGUUGAAGUCACCGGCUCCAGCUGUGGUACCUCUCCCGUUGUCCUCGGUGGCUGCCCAGACAGGAUCUGUAAUUGGGAGUGAAAAGACGCACAUGGGGGCAAGAAGAAAAAAAAGCUUGGGGGCAAGGGAUGGCAAGUGGCAAAAUGGGAUGGAGGUUGGUUAAACCCGGAGGCCUAAGGGUCCUUUUUGGGAGAGCGGAGACGGGGUGAUGAGGAUGGGGUAAGUGAGCAAGGGGACAAACCUGUGAGCUUCAGUUCCAGGAAUUGCCGGCUCACUUUGUCUCAGCUACAACCUCCGCGUUGUGGGCACGGCCCCUCUAACUAAAAUAG